AUUGAACGCUAGCGGGAUGCUUUACACAUGCAAGUCGAACGGCAGCGCGGACUUCGGUCUGGCGGCGAGUGGCGAACGGGUGAGUAAUUUAUCGGAACGUGCCCAGUAGCGGGGGAUAACUACGCGAAAGCGUAGCUAAUACCGCAUACGCCCUACGGGGGAAAGCAGGGGAUCGUAAGACCUUGCACUAUUGGAGCGGCCGAUAUCGGAUUAGCUAGUUGGUGAGGUAACGGCUCACCAAGGCGACGAUCCGUAGCUGGUUUGAGAGGACGACCAGCCACACUGGGACUGAGACACGGCCCAGACUCCUACGGGAGGCAGCAGUGGGGAAUUUUGGACAAUGGGGGCAACCCUGAUCCAGCCAUCCCGCGUGUGCGAUGAAGGCCUUCGGGUUGUAAAGCACUUUUGGCAGGAAAGAAACGUCGCGGGCUAAUACCCCGUGGAACUGACGGUACCUGCAGAAUAAGCACCGGCUAACUACGUG
rnacentral:rRNA from 1 species